ACACUUGUCUGAGAAACUCACUCUCGCAACACUAGAGAUUAAUACAUCACUCAGUGUGCAUUUCUUUGUGAUAAAGGGCUGGUGUCAAAUAUAUCAGAUAUGUUUGUGAGACUCAAAAAUUGUGAAUACCCUGAUUCUUGAUACUUUAAACCUGUGUGUGCACCUUACUCUAGAUGGUAUAUGAUAUCUUAGUUUUUAGCUCUUGCACCAUUUUUUUGGUAGAGGUGAAAACUAGGAUCUAAUGAGGUGAUAGAAUGAUAAUUUUUUGUAUAAGUAGCCCCACCCUCACUGGAAAUUAGUGUCUUCGACUAUAACAUCAGUAUUGUGGCUUUCAAGUUUUGCAUUAAUAAAUGCAGUAAUGUUUCUACAAUAUGAGUUAAAACAUUUGCAAAUGAUGCCAUUCUCCCUCUUGUUUAGAGAAAGCCUCACUCCUAAAACAAAACCCAUUUGCAGUGUCUUUGUUGCAGCAGCAGCAGCUACCUUGUCAUUUCUCCCCAAAGGAACAAGAUAAAAUUGGACGUGAACCAGGGAAAGUGAUAAGUACUUUGAUUUUAUUUUUAUUCCAAAAAGAAGAGUAUAACAAGUUUAAGGUGAAGAUUUGGGUAUCAUCUUCAUUAUCAAUGCAUCACUUUUACAUGUACAAUAAGCUUAUUCUGGUUUGGAUUCUCCACAUCAUCAUGAAGGGCCCAGCCCUCUGCUUAGGAAAUAUGAAUCAAUUGCUCACUGUCAUAGGGUUGAGGACAAAUAUUUGAAUGUUGGAGAAGAGCUUUGGCAAGAAACUUUGCCAUUACAAGGUGGAUCUCGCUUUUAUCAUAUACAACAUCUAAAACCCCAUACGUGGUAUGAAGUGAAGAUAUCAUAUCCAGCUUCGAUACCUGCUAGCUUUUCCUUACAACUGAAGAGAAACAAGUCAAAUAUGGAGCUCACAAGUAACAGGAGAUUACUCAACACUGAAAAGCUAAUUUUUAAGACCUAUAGCGAUCAGGACAAAACCUACGUACUAGUAGCUGUGGAGCCAGAGGGGGUUCCAGCAAAACCUUAUAUACUAGAGAGGCAGUUUAUCAUCUUCAAUAUAGUAUGUGAUGAACUACUAUUAGGCAUACCCCACAAAGCUUGGUGGGUUGUGGCAUUGGGCUUAUUAUGUCUCGGAAUUGCAUUGAUCAUUCCUUAUUUCCUUCCUUCAUAUUUUCUUCCGAAGAAGCAGGUCCCUAUAUCAGCUAAUAAUGUUUCAAAAACUUCUUAACAAACCACCUAGGAUGAUAAAGUCAUUGUUUAUCUCAAACUAGAUGUUAUUGCAAUGAAAAGUAUAACUUUGGAAUCCUAGUUUUACAGCAUCUUGUAAUGUACAUUUAAGAGAACUUCAAUAAAAAAAA
rnacentral:lncRNA from 1 species